UCUCUGCCCCAACUUGAUUGAGGAACAGGGGAUGUGUAAUAGUCUUAACAGUAUCUACUCGACCAUCUGAUCCAUCUUCUCCCAAACAUCUAUCCUGACAUGUCCACCGGCAAUACAGCAGACUUACACGCCAUGGGAGAUCCUCCUAACUCUGUCAUGUCAAAAAUCAAAGACAGAGAAGCUUCCAAAAAUUGGACGUUUUGGACGACUAAAAAACUGAUUGAGAUAUUUUUGGAGAAGAUUCUUCCCAAAGACUGGCAGUUGGGCUAGACGCAAACACUGGCAGACACUGGGGCUGGUGAGACACACAGAGACGCACACUGUGACUGAAGACAGACACUGGCAGGCACUGGGUUUGAUGCUGAUGGAAGACAGAUCCCGGACCAUCAAAAAUAGAAGCGGGCUCUGAAGCCUUUUAUUUCUUUGGGGAAAUGCAAGCAUGCCCUGCAAAAGAGAAAUCUGUGUGAGGGUUGUCUACAGGAUGAAUGUAAGGCAGAACCAGAGUGCUCUUCUGAUGUUGUGUGUGUGGCUCCUGUGCACACAGUCAGUGUCCAGCAGCAAC